rnacentral:rRNA from 1 species
CAGCAGCCGCGGGAAUACGUAGGUCCCGAGCGUUGUCCGGAUUUAUUGGGCGUAAAGCGAGCGCAGGCGGUUAGAUAAGUCUGAAGUUAAAGGCUGUGGCUUAACCAUAGUACGCUUUGGAAACUGUUUAACUUGAGUGCAGAAGGGGAGAGUGGAAUUCCAUGUGUAGCGGUGAAAUGCGUAGAUAUAUGGAGGAACACCGGUGGCGAAAGCGGCUCUCUGGUCUGUAACUGACGCUGAGGCUCGAAAGCGUGGGGAGCAAACAGGAUUAGAUACCCCCGUAGUCCCUGUCUCUUAUACC